GUUUAUAUUUUUAGUAAAUAGAUGAUAAAUGUCACAUUGAAUUUUGUUUAGGCAGUGGAUGUUUUGUUUCCUUAAAAACAGACCACUAUAAAUU